rnacentral:rRNA from 1 species
AUGCGAGUCAUUGUAGCAAUACAAGGCAUACGGCUCAGUAACGCGUAGUCAACCUAACCUAUGGACGGAAAUAACCUCGGGAAACUGAGAAUAAUGUCCGAUAGAACACUAUACCUGGAAUGGUUUGUGUUCCAAAUGAUUUAUCGCCGUAGGAUGGGACUGCGGCCUAUCAGUUUGUUGGUGAGGUAAUGGCCCACCAAGACUAUUACAGGUACGGGCUCUGAGAGGAGUAGCCCGGAGAUGGGUACUGAGACACGGACCCAGGCCCUAUGGGGCGCAGCAGGCGAGAAAACUUUGCAAUGUGCGAAAGCACGACAAGGUUAAUCCGAGUGAUUUGUGCUAAACGAAUCUUUUGUUAGUCUUAGAACCACUAACGAAUAAGGGGUGGGCAAGUUCUGGUGUCAGCCGCCGCGGUAAAACCAGCACCUCAAGUGGUCAGGAUGAUUACUGGGCCUAAAGCAUCCGUAGCCGGCUCUGUAAGUUUUCGGUUAAAUCUGUACGCUCAACGUACAGGCUGCCGGGAAUACUGCAGAGCUAGGGAGUGGGAGAGGUAGACGGUACUCGGAAGGAAGGGGUAAAAUCCUUUGAUCUUUUGAUGACCACCUGUGGCGAAGGCGGUCUACCAGAACACGUCCGACGGUGAGGGAUGAAAGCUGGGGGAGCAAACCGGAUUAGAUACCCGGGUAGUCCCAGCUGUAAACUAUGCAAACUCAGUGAUGCAUUGACUUAUGGUCAAUGCAGUGCUGCAGGGAAGCCGUUAAGUUUGCCGCCUGGGAAGUACGUACGCAAGUAUGAAACUUAAAGGAAUUGGCGGGGGAGCACCACAAGGGGUGAAGCCUGCGGUUCAAUUGGAUUCAACGCCGGAA